rnacentral:rRNA from 2 species
GAGGUUAAGCGACUAAGCGUACACGGUGGAUGCCCUGGCAGUCAGAGGCGAUGAAGGACGUGCUAAUCUGCGAUAAGCGCCGGUAAGGUGAUAUGAACCGUUAUAACCGGCGAUUUCCGAAUGGGGAAACCCAGUGUGACUCGUCACACUAUCAUUAACUGAAUCCAUAGGUUAAUGAGGCGAACCGGGGGAACUGAAACAUCUAAGUACCCCGAGGAAAAGAAAUCAACCGAGAUUCCCCCAGUAGCGGCGAGCGAACGGGGAGGAGCCCAGAGCCUGAAUCAGCAUGUGUGUUAGUGGAAGCGUCUGGAAAGGCGCGCGAUACAGGGUGACAGCCCCGUACACAAAAGCGCAUGUGCUGUGAGCUCGAUGAGUAGGGCGGGACACGUGGUAUCCUGUCUGAAUAUGGGGGGACCAUCCUCCAAGGCUAAAUACUCCUGACUGACCGAUAGUGAACCAGUACCGUGAGGGAAAGGCGAAAAGAACCCCGGCGAGGGGAGUGAAAAAGAACCUGAAACCGUGUACGUACAAGCAGUGGGAGCACCCUUUGGGGUGUGACUGCGUACCUUUUGUAUAAUGGGUCAGCGACUUAUAUUCUGUAGCAAGGUUAACCGAAUAGGGGAGCCGGAGGGAAACCGAGUCUUAAUUGGGCGUUAAGUUGCAGGGUAUAGACCCGAAACCCGGUGAUCUAGCCAUGGGCAGGUUGAAGGUUGGGUAACACUAACUGGAGGACCGAACCGACUAAUGUUGAAAAAUUAGCGGAUGACCUGUGGCUGGGGGUGAAAGGCCAAUCAAACCGGGAGAUAGCUGGUUCUCCCCGAAAGCUAUUUAGGUAGCGCCUCGUGAAUUCAUCUCCGGGGGUAGAGCACUGUUUCGGCUAGGGGGCCAUCCCGGCUUACCAACCCGAUGCAAACUGCGAAUACCGGAGAAUGUUAUCACGGGAGACACACGGCGGGUGCUAACGUCCGUCGUGAAGAGGGAAACAACCCAGACCGCCAGCUAAGGUCCCAAAGUCAUGGUUAAGUGGGAAACGAUGUGGGAAGGCCCAGACAGCCAGGAUGUUGGCUUAGAAGCAGCCAUCAUUUAAAGAAAGCGUAAUAGCUCACUGGUCGAGUCGGCCUGCGCGGAAGAUGUAACGGGGCUAAACCAUGCACCGAAGCUGCGGCAGCGACGCUGAUGCGUUGUUGGGUAGGGGAGCGUUCUGUAAGCCUGUGAAGGUGGCCUGUGAGGGUUGCUGGAGGUAUCAGAAGUGCGAAUGCUGACAUAAGUAACGAUAAAGCGGGUGAAAAGCCCGCUCGCCGGAAGACCAAGGGUUCCUGUCCAACGUUAAUCGGGGCAGGGUGAGUCGACCCCUAAGGCGAGGCCGAAAGGCGUAGUCGAUGGGAAACGGGUUAAUAUUCCCGUACUUGGUGUUACUGCGAAGGGGGGACGGAGAAGGCUAUGUUGGCCGGGCGACGGUUGUCCCGGUUUAAGCGUGUAGGUGUGUGUUCCAGGUAAAUCCGGUUCACUUUAACACUGAGGCGUGAUGACGAGGCACUACGGUGCUGAAGCAACAAAUGCCCUGCUUCCAGGAAAAGCCUCUAAGCAUCAGGUAACAUCAAAUCGUACCCCAAACCGACACAGGUGGUCAGGUAGAGAAUACCAAGGCGCUUGAGAGAACUCGGGUGAAGGAACUAGGCAAAAUGGUGCCGUAACUUCGGGAGAAGGCACGCUGACACGUAGGUGAAGUGAUUUACUCAUGGAGCUGAAGUCAGUCGAAGAUACCAGCUGGCUGCAACUGUUUAUUAAAAACACAGCACUGUGCAAACACGAAAGUGGACGUAUACGGUGUGACGCCUGCCCGGUGCCGGAAGGUUAAUUGAUGGGGUCAGCGCAAGCGAAGCUCCUGAUCGAAGCCCCGGUAAACGGCGGCCGUAACUAUAACGGUCCUAAGGUAGCGAAAUUCCUUGUCGGGUAAGUUCCGACCUGCACGAAUGGCGUAAUGAUGGCCAGGCUGUCUCCACCCGAGACUCAGUGAAAUUGAACUCGCUGUGAAGAUGCAGUGUACCCGCGGCAAGACGGAAAGACCCCGUGAACCUUUACUAUAGCUUGACACUGAACAUUGAGCCUUGAUGUGUAGGAUAGGUGGGAGGCUUUGAAGUGUGGACGCCAGUCUGCAUGGAGCCGGCCUUGAAAUACCACCCUUUAAUGUUUGAUGUUCUAACGUGGACCCGUGAUCCGGGUUGCGGACAGUGUCUGGUGGGUAGUUUGACUGGGGCGGUCUCCUCCUAAAGAGUAACGGAGGAGCACGAAGGUUGGCUAAUCCUGGUCGGACAUCAGGAGGUUAGUGCAAUGGCAUAAGCCAGCUUGACUGCGAGCGUGACGGCGCGAGCAGGUGCGAAAGCAGGUCAUAGUGAUCCGGUGGUUCUGAAUGGAAGGGCCAUCGCUCAACGGAUAAAAGGUACUCCGGGGAUAACAGGCUGAUACCGCCCAAGAGUUCAUAUCGACGGCGGUGUUUGGCACCUCGAUGUCGGCUCAUCACAUCCUGGGGCUGAAGUAGGUCCCAAGGGUAUGGCUGUUCGCCAUUUAAAGUGGUACGCGAGCUGGGUUUAGAACGUCGUGAGACAGUUCGGUCCCUAUCUGCCGUGGGCGCUGGAGAACUGAGGGGGGCUGCUCCUAGUACGAGAGGACCGGAGUGGACGCAUCACUGGUGUUCGGGUUGUCAUGCCAAUGGCACUGCCCGGUAGCUAAAUGCGGAAGAGAUAAGUGCUGAAAGCAUCUAAGCACGAAACUUGCCCCGA